AGGACCUCUGGGCUGCUUGGAAAUUGACAGAGAAAGAAGGAUCCUUAACAUGGACCUGUUUGGAUAGUCAGGCCCAGGUAAAAAAUUGUAGCUUAGAUUGGGAAAACCCAAAUGUCUGUCAACAGGGGAGUAGAUAAACAAAGGCAGCUUAUAGAAUACGAGAGAGAGAGAGAGAAUACUACUCAGUUACGAAAAAUAAUGAAGUGUGAUACAGGCUAUAACACAGAUGAACCUCCCGAACCUUCUACUAAGUGAAGGAAGCCAGUAAUGAAAGACCACAGAUUGUAUGAUCCAAUUUAUACAGAAUGUUCAGGAUGGGCAAAUCUGUAAAGGAAGGAAGUACAGUCCCAGUUGCCGGGGGCUACUGGAAGUGCGGGAUGGAAAUGGGGAGGACUGGGUGUGGAGUUUCUUGUGGAGGAGGCGGGUGACAGAGACGUUCUGAGGUUAGAUUAUGGUGAUGGCUGCACAAGCCUAUAAAUUUACAAAAAUUCACUGAGUUGUAUACUUGAAACAGGUAAAUUUCAUAAAAUAUAAAUUAGACUUUAAUACAUCUCUUCUUAAAAAAGAGUUUAGAUUUGAAAGCGUUUUCCCCAGUAGAGCAUGGAUGUGGCCAAAGUGAGGAGGACUUUGGGGAGCCUGGGGGACAACACACAGAAAUUGAUGGAUCCAUUUGUUUCGUAAGGGAAGAGGAAGAAGGACAAGGUCACAAACAUCCGCCUGGUGAGGACAUCAGAAAAGGUGAAGUCACCCCCUGUCGGGUGACAUUGACGCUUGCCGGCGGGGCAUCUGAGAACCCAGGGAAGCCCAUCUCAGAAGCUUCCAGCACCGUGGCUGCGAGGCGCUGCCAUCAGCCGUCCUGCGAAUGCCAGGGCCUUCAUGAAGAGCUGGAGAAGCCACCGACUUCCCUUGGAGACGCGGGCUCUCCCCGGCCAUCCACCUCUGUCCCGCGGGAGGCGGCCACGUCUUCACCUCCCGGGCUGGGCCUGCGAGCGGCGACGGGAGUCAGUCUGCAGCCCAGGAGGAGAUGCACUUAUAUCAAUGAGAGAUAAAUCCCAGCUAGAAAUACAGGUCCCUGACAACCUAAUCACUGAAACCCUGUCAAGUAACCCCUAAUUUUGAAGCGAGUGGUUAAUUCCCAGCAAAUUGAUUUAUGCACUGUUUGAGGUUUGGCGAGUUGUGUUGUUCAUCUGUUAUUACCAGGAACUCGGCCCUGCCUAUUCAUUUAGAGCAUUGACACAACCCAGUGCAUCUCCCAAGAAAAUCUCCUUUGUCAGCACAUCUAGAAUUUGCUAAUUAAAUCAACGAUGACAUUAUUCACUAUCUCAAGAAAAAAAAAAAAAGGCAGCCCCUCUCCCCAGCGCCGGGUCUGUUCCUCCUCCUGCUUCUUGUUUCUCUCUCACACUCUCUUUAACUCUGAGUUUCGCCAGCACCAAAAAUCUUGGAAGUUCAUGCAGCCUUUCCUGGGCUUUAUUUUGUCUGCCAGGAGCAGCAAACAGAGAGCAGCCCUCUAGUCUCGAUCGGGAGUGGACACACACGCACACACGUGUCUGGGCCCAAGUUCGCACCACGCUCCAGUGCAUGUGCACAUGAGCACCGGCCACUUAGGCAGGCCACAGCGACAGAAGGGCCUUCGGGGAAAGUCACGACGAUCCCAGGCACCUAAGAGCCCAGCUUCUUCAUUGUCUACCACAGUGUGGAUGUCUUUCAAAUGAUAGGGUUGGCCGGCACGACAGGCAUUGUCUGGCCUACUCCAGCUGAAGCACACUCCGAAUACAAGAAGGACAGGCUGUCCCCAGGGCUCUAUAAUUAUGGGCCCGUGAUGUCUCUGCUUCUCUUUGGGUUCCAACUCAGAAGGAAAUACACAGAAGGGGUGGAAUGAGCCAUGUCACAACGCCAAGAAGUUUUAGGUCACAUUUUUCCCUGCACUGGAAUGUUCUUUUUCAAUUCACAGAUAUUAAAAAGCAAAAAUGGGGGAAAAGUUUUUGGACAUUUUUAGGUUGUUGUAAUGACAACCUAAAAAAGUUUCCCCUCCUAUAGACGAGAAGUCAAAUGAUAGCGAAAUCAGAAGCAGAAUAAACAAUUCCUCAGGUUCAUAUUCUUCAUGGGUCGUUUGUUUUUUUAAUGACAGCCGUACAAUUUUUAUUUCUUGGAGAGAAGGAGGGGAUUUUUUACAAUUUUAAUUGACUAAGAAGACCAUAGACAAUUAAUGUGAGGUGCCACGGGGCAUGGCCCUGUGAUAUUUUCAAAGGUCGGUAUGGUUUAUGGGUGCCCAGGCUUGAAGAGCGUCUCUGCUGGCACACGUCCUCUCCACAGCCUUAUCCAAAAACAAACCACACGUGGUUUUGUUAAACUGACUUCCCUGGAUCAAGGUUUAGACCUAAAAGGCAAAUUUUACCUAGAAGUGGUGUUAUACUUACAAAUACGUGGAGCCUUAAAAUAACAGGCCCUACAUCAGACAGAGUCCAACCAGGGUCAGUCAGUAAGUAAAAGCCGAAGAGGGGAUAUCGAGGCAGCCUAGAAAUUUGCAAGAGCAGAAAGCUGUAACCUCAGAGGGCUGGGGGGGAAGGGGAAGAUGGGUAUUUCCCAAGCCCAGGUUGGAGUUACCACAGAGGCUUCUCCCCCAGAGAAUUGCACCCCCAGAGGAGACCCAGCUCAAGGCAGAGAGUGGAACACAUGCCCAGGCCUUUCCCUCCCCUACUUCUGCUCUUCCAACCACUGCACCCCCACCCCAUCCUCCCCUGGGCCAAACCUGAAGCCUACAGACACACAGCAGCACUGAGGAGAGCAAGCCAUGGUUCUAGGGGCUCCCCAUCAGAAGGCGUCUGCAGCACAGGGAAAGAUCCAGCUCCCACAGGCAGCUACAAGGCCCUCCAUGCAAGUCAAGAGCUCCACUAGGUGCAUGAAGAGUUCAAGGUGACCUCGCCAUGGAAAGAGCCUGAAGAGAGCACCUGUGGACAGUCUAUUCUACCUCUGGGAGCCUCCAUUUACUCUCAUGUGAAAUGGGUUAGCAACAUGCAUCUCGGAAGGAGCACAUAUCCCAACACAGAGCACACAUGGGCUUUCCUUCCUUCCUCCUCCCCAAGGAGCUGACAGUCUAGCGUGACACAGUGGAUGGUCUCAAAGAAGAAAAUGCAGCAGGCUGUUGACUCCACCAUUACGUGGCCCUUCUCCUCCCUGUGGGGGGCAUGUGGAUGUCAAUUCACUACAACGGUCUUGCACCCAUGUUUGCUUGAUGAUCAUCACCCUCCCCUCCAAGGUGACUCCUCUACACUACCUGCAAACACACCUCCUUGAAGAUUCUUUCUUCCCCCCGCCCCUCACCCUUGAGUCCAGGCUCUGUACAUUAGUCUGCAAGCCAAGUCCCCUGUGUUGCCUGAUUUUGUAAAUAAAGUUUUAUUGGGACACAGUGGGCAUUCCUCAUUGACAUAUUGCCUGUGGCUGCUACAGCAGCAGAGUUGAAUAACCCACUGCUCAGAAACUCUGUGGCCCAAGAAUCCUAAAGGAUUCACUCUCUGGCCCUUUAUAGGACGCGCUCGCUGACCUCUGCUCGAAAUGAUGGCUCUAAAGGCCUCUCCUCCCUCCAGAAUGAAUAAACAUUAUUAAUCAGUCUCUGCCCUUCCUGAAGCCAUUUGAAAUUCCAUCACCGCAAUGACUCCCAGCUUGAAGGGAAAAAGCAGGGGAGGAGUAGAAUCCAGAAAAAUAGAACAGUCAGUGAAUUGCACAGAAUAUCUGGCUGGAGGGGUGUGUGAAAAACAGGACAUUUCCCCUCAGCAGCCAGGGGAGACUCAGGAGCCAGACAGGUCCAGCUACAUGUUGUGGUCAUUCUAGCAAUUUUAUGGCCUGAGUCGCACACUUAUUUGUGAAGUAUGACCCUUCUCCCCAUGCUUCAUCUAUCUGAG
rnacentral:lncRNA from 1 species